AUUGUCCCCAAAAAAGUUGAAGACCAACCAAACACUCUCAACAACAUCGCCACCCAAAUGCUCCCUUCUCCCCAAAACAUCCCCACACAAAUCCCACAAUCCCCAUCCUAUCCCUCUCUAAACAAACCAACGGUCACUAUCAGUCCACGACCCUCCAUCUCACUGUUCCACCGCUUUCCUUCUUUCUUUCGUCCAGCUCCACUCUCUCCUCCAGUCCCAUCUCUCUCCUCAUUACCCGCGUUAAUUGGCUUGCCCAGUAACCAGUUGGCUCAUUAUUACACUACGUUACAUUUCUGCUGCCUGCUGUAUUAUACGCCGGAGAGCACCGAAUCUUUUCUCCAGUCGGUUCACAAAGAUCUUGUCUUUUUCUCUCGCGGCCUCUCGAACGCCGAAACGAGUCGUUGAAUCGUUCAGCGUUUUCUCGUUUCUUGAUUCGUGCUUCAGUUUCCGAAGAAAAUGUCGUUUCGUGAAAUGUAGAGGCAUUUUUUUACGAAAUCUGUAUUGAACUAGCAAUGCAAUUUUGAAGCUUCGAGAAAUUUCGUGUGUUCUGAUUUUUGGAAGACCAAGACUCUGAAAUGCAGCAGCGCCUUUGAUCUGUUUCAACUGGUUUCUCCUUCUCUUUGAUUCCGAGGGCUUCUGUUUUUAGGGUUAGGGUAGCAAAAGCUGUGCUGGUUUAGAAAUCGAUGUUGUUACAAACAUGCCGAGCAUUAGAGCUCCGGCUACAAAGCAAACUACAACACUCACGGUUGCUGUGAAAUGCAGGCCGUUUAGGGAGAGAGAACGUGGCCGCGACAUUGUUCGAGUAAUUGACAAUAAGGAGGUACUUGUGUUGGAUCCUGAUCUGUCAAAGGACUACCUUGAGCGCAUACAGAAUCGAACAAAGGAAAAGAAAUAUUGUUUUGAUCAUGCAUUUGAUCCUGGCUGUACUAAUUUGGAUGUCUACACGAAAUGCAUAUUGUCUGUCAUCUCUGGCGUAGUUAAUGGUCUCAAUGCUACCGUGUUUGCUUAUGGUUCUACCGGAAGUGGUAAAACAUAUACAAUGGUCGGGACACAAGAUGAUCCAGGACUCAUGGUACUCAGUUUGCAUACAAUCUUUGAUCUAAUCAAAAGGGACAAGAGCUCUGAUGAAUUUGAAGUAACCUGUUCCUAUCUUGAAGUCUACAAUGAGGUCAUCUACGAUUUGCUUGAAAAGUCAUCAGGCCAUUUGGAACUCAGAGAGGACCCGGAGCAAGGAGUAAUUGUUGCUGGGCUGAGGUGUAUCAAGGUACAAUCAGCUGAUAAGAUUCUUGAACUCUUAAACUUGGGGAAUAGCCGACGGAAAACUGAAAGCACAGAGGCUAAUGCAACAUCUUCUCGGUCACAUGCAGUGCUGGAAAUAAAAGUAAAAAGAAAACAGAAAAAUAAGUACCGGAAUCAAGUAAUGCGAGGAAAACUCGCACUUGUGGAUCUAGCUGGCAGUGAACGAGCUUCAGAAACAAACAGUGGAGGCCAAAAAUUAAGGGAUGGAGCAAAUAUUAACCGUUCACUUCUCGCCUUGGCAAACUGCAUAAAUGCACUGGGGAAACAGCAAAAGAAGGGUCUUGCUUAUGUUCCUUACCGCAAUAGCAAAUUGACACGAAUACUCAAAGAUGGUUUGAGUGGUAAUUCUCAAACGGUUAUGGUUGCUACUGUAUCCCCUGUGGACAGUCAGUAUCAUCACACUGUGAAUACCUUGAAAUAUGCUGAUCGGGCAAAGGAAAUAAAGACACACAUCCAGAAAAACAUCGGCACUAUUGAUACACAUGUAUCAGACUACCAACAAAUGAUUGACAGUCUUCAGAUUGAGGUUUGCCGAUUGAAAAAAGAACUAGCUGAAAAGGAAUCACAGCUAAGUGUCAAACCUGUUGAAAAAGCUGCAGAUGAUGAACUUUCAUGGUUGAAUAUUUUGAGCCAUGAAACCAGUGAAAAUGUUCAGGAAAGGAUAAACCUACAGAAGGCAUCAUUUGAGCUUGAGGAAACCAACCUUCGCAACCGCCUUGAACUCCAACAUCUUGAUGAUGCUAUAGCAAAAGAACAGGCUAUUGGAAAAGAUGGGGAAGUUUUAGAGGUUAUGAGAACAAGGCGGCAAGUGAUUUUGGAUAACAUCCGUGAGAAUGAUGAAGCUGGUGUCAAUUACCAUAUGGAAAUUGAAGCAAAUGAGAAGCAUCGAUGUCAACUCCAAAAUAUGAUUGAGGAGGCCAUUAGUAACAAUGGCAAUAAAACGUACUUGCGUAUUCUUAGUCAAUACAGGCUCUUGGGAAUGGCUAAUACUGAGCUUCAGUUUGAAAUGGCAAUGAGGGAUCAAGUGAUUAACAACCAACGAGAAGCACUGAGAAACAUGUGGGACUUGCUUAUGGGGUUAGGACUUGAUGAGAGACAGAUCAUGGACCUUGCAUCUAAGAAGGGAAUAACGAUAGAAGACUGGACGACAACACCCCAUCUUGGCCUUUCUGCAAGGGAGCAGUCACCAGAUUUGGCUUCCAGCAAAUAUGCUUCCUUUGGCCAUUGUCGUGGCAUGGGUCAGUCGUAUUCUAGAUCGUCUUGCACCUUUCAGCAGUCUCAAGACUUUGGUUCGAUGUCAGUGCCCCAGGGGCAUUUGGAUUUGGCUCAUUCCUUUUCCAGGGAGGAGCACCAUAGCUCCUACUACUUAUUGUCUCAUGACCAUUCCCCUUCAGCCUGUAUGAGUAUGAGGACAAGUAGUGAGCACUGGUUUGGUGGCAGGUCAAGUUUGCGGUUUGGCACUCUUGAUAAGACUCCUCAAGAUUUGCGAAAAUCAUAUCCAGUGAGGGAGAACUCAAGUUUCACCAGAUAGUAAAAUCUGCAUACCAGAUUCAUCUUUCAGUGUGGAUUUUGACAAUCAGAGAAGGAUGAAUGGAGUAGUAGUGCUUUUGAGGCAACGUCUGUACAGCGGUCCUCCUGAUGGUAUGAGUAGUAGCCAAGUAUAUUUAUAGGCCAUGGCGGUAUAGCUCAAGGUUUGGAUAUGGCCGAUUAAAACAAGGCCCUGAUAUGCUCAGUUGAAAGUACAUGGUUUCUCGAUAUACUUCUACAAGGCCAAUUUUCUUUUGGUUUCCAUAACCCUGACCCCAAAGGCCACACCCCUCCAACCUUCUGUAGCCUUGUUGUAAAUUUUUAAUUUCCACGCCUUCGCUUCCCGUGUGUAAUUUUUUUUUUACCCUCUCUUCUUUCCCUCUAUGUAGUUACACCUAGGGCAUCUGUAGGUGAAAACAUGGCAGUUGAUUUCUUUUUGGGUUACUGACUGUAUGCAAAAAAGAUGGGGGGUUUUGGAGAGGGUGGGAGGAGGAAGAAGGGAUAUAAAAGCAGUUUGUUAAAUACGUAUGUUCUGACACUUGGACUGACGGAAUGUAGUUCUAGUGCUGUGUACAUAUGUUUAUGAAAUGAUCAUGCCGUACUGAUUAUCAAGCUUGUAACCACUUUGCUUUGUGUUUUAAUUACUUCCAUUUUUUUCCAAACUUGUAAGAACUCAUCUUGUUUUGUAGAAGCGUAUCUGUUAUGGCCUGAUCAUUUUCUUGUUUAGGAAGGGUGACCAUAUUCAAGUACCAUACA